rnacentral:tRNA from 1 species
GCGUCGGUGGUUCAGUGGUAGAAUACUCGCCUGCCACGCGGGUGACCCGGGUUCGAUUCCCGGCCUGACGCA